GACGACGACGGGUAGCCGGCCUGAGAGGGCGACCGGCCACACUGGGACUGAGACACGGCCCAGACUCCUACGGGAGGCAGCAGUGGGGAAUAUUGCACAAUGGGGGAAACCCUGAUGCAGCGACGCAGCGUGCGGGAUGACGGCCUUCGGGUUGUAAACCGCUUUCAGCAGGGAAGAAGCGCAAGUGACGGUACCUGCAGAAGAAGUACCGGCUAACUACGUGCCAGCAGCCGCGGUAAUACGUAGGGUACGAGCGUUGUCCGGAAUUAUUGGGCGUAAAGAGCUCGUAGGUGGUUGGUCACGUCUGCUGUGRAAACSCAACGCUUAACSUUGSGCGUGCAGUGGGUACGGGCUGACUAGAGUGCAGUAGGGGAGUCUGGAAUUCCUGGUGUAGCGGUGAAAUGCGCAGAUAUCAGGAGGAACACCGGUGGCGAAGGCGGGACUCUGGGCUGUAACUGACACUGAGGAGCGAAAGCAUGGGGAGCGAACAGGAUUAGAUACCCUGGUAGUCCAUGCCGUAAACGUUGGGCACUAGGUGUGGGGGGCAUUCCACGUUCUCCGCGCCGUAGCUAACGCAUUAAGUGCCCCGCCUGGGGGAGUACGG
rnacentral:rRNA from 1 species